GUCUUGCUAACCACAAGCUUGUCUUGAGCAACAUUUUUUAGGAAGUCACAACAGGUAGUGGCUCCAUCCACUGAACUAGCCCAAGCUACACCUUGAAGCAUGCACAGAUUGAAGAGACCACAUCCUUCAACCCACCCAGGACCCGACUGUCACCACAAGGAACAAAUUUCCCAGUCCAUGAUUUCACCCAAUUCCAUUUUAGAAGCAAGGGCCUACUACACAUCUGAAGGAAGAUGAUUUAAUAUCCGGACCUCCAAGUAUGGACGUGGCGGGGCUAAGGGAGGAGAGUUCCUGGUGCCAAACCCAACCCCCGACGCCAUUGCAAACAAAAAGCUCCCCAGCUCCCUUAGAGAAGGAGCAGUCGGCCUUGUGGUCGCUAGACCCCACUUUGUUCCUUCUCUGUGCAGACAAUAAAUUUCCACUUUCUGUUUCCCUUGCAACUGGCGGUGUGGCUUCGGUCUUAUUUCGAUUGGCUAAUAGGACUGCGCAAGAACCCUCGUCUGGUUACAGAUUUUGGCGACUCUGGCUGGGAUUUGCGGACUCUGAAAUCUGGGCAGUGAGCAUCCGAACCCCCGCAACCCUUUAAGGCGCGCCCCGAUCCCAUUUGGUUGGUAAGGAGUUUCGGGUGGCCAUCAUGACCCUGCCCCCCAGAGAGGCCUGCCGGGUCCCUACCUCAGCUCACAAACAGUAACUGGAAGCUGGAUGGGAAAGACCCUAAAUUAAGGCUGUCAAUCUCUCUUAAGCACCUUCCUCCCCCCUGGAAGAGAAGAAGGUGGCCCUAGGCAAGGCGGAGAGGAAGCCCAGAGGCAACAUGAUGCUUGAUGGACCAGGGACGCAGUCGAUGACAUCCUCCCCCUUCAAGACCCCACUGGGACCACAACCACACAGUGGAAUAUGGGGUGCUUGACUCUUUUUACAGGUACACCUGACAGACUCUUCCACAACCUGAAGUCUCUCUCUCUCUGUGUCAAGAACCUAGAGCACUAUAGACCUGACAGGAGAACAACCCCCGGCACUGCAAUCAAGAUCGCCAAAAAGGGAGCGUGGAUCCAUAACUCUCGCAUUGAGCUGGCUGCUACUCACGAUAGUGACCAACAAGCCCUGCAGAACAAAUUUACACCUAUAAAUGAUACUUCGACAGAGAAAUCACCCCAUCUCCCCUGAGCAGGUUCCAGCUAGAGCCCAGUUCUAUGCCAGCGCCCCUAGCCAGCAAGAAGAAGCUACAGAAGCAUUUUUCAAGAAGCCUCAGCAAGUAGUAGCUCCAUCCACCGAACUAGCCCAAGCUAUGCCUUGAAGCAUGCACAGAUUAAAGAGAUCACGUCCUUCAACCCACCCCGGACCCAACUGUCACCAGAAAGAACAAUAUUUCCCACUCCAUGAUUUCACUCCAUUUCAUUUUAGAAGCAAGGAGUCCCAAUACACGCACAUCUGACAGAAGAUGAUUUAAUAUCCAGACCUUCAAGUAUGGACAUGGGAGGGCUAAGGGUGGAGAGUUCUGGGUACCAAACCCAACCCCUGACGCCAUUGGAAACAAAAAGCUCCCCAGCCUCCUUAGACAGUGAACACUUGGCCUUAUUGUCACUAGACCCCACAUUGUUCCUUGUCUGUGCAGACGAUAAAUUUCCACUUUCUGUUUUCCUUGCAACCGGUUGUGUGGCAUCCAUCUUAUUUCCAACGGCUAAUAGGACAGGAAAAGAACCCUCGUUUGGUUACAGUUGGAUAUGGAAAGUGGGAGAAGCAAAGAGUUAGGGAAUGGUAGGAAUCUUUUAUGACAAGGAAAUCACCUUGUCUGAGAGAGAAGAAGGAAGAGUAGGAGAAGGAAAAGAGGAGAACAAGACUCUGUCUUUUCUAUGAUGGCAUUGACUUAUUCUGUACCCACACAGCCCCUGCAACAAAGAUUUCUAUAUUCCCUUCUGUGAUAAUUAUCCCCCACAGGAAAAUCAUAAGCCUCGUCUUGAUAACCCAAGGUAAUAGAGGGAAAGGGAAGUUAAACAGUUGCAGAAAUUUUUGAGGCAGAAAAGCUAACCUUUGGGAAAAUUUUUUUCUUUAAUUAUGUAAACUAAGGAUUUUCUGUGAUCAAAUUUACAAUACCCUAGAUCACAGCAUUGGACCUUCCUGUUGUGACCCUAAUACUCCACAGCAUGUUUUCUCCUUUUCAAAAUGAGUGAUUGAGAGCUUGACAUAACUAAUGCCAUGAUAAACUCAUAAGUUUUUCUCCUUCCUCUGCCUAACUUCUCCUUUCCACGUACCUUUAAUGACUUUGUUUUGAUCUGAUGCAAUAACUUUGUUUUUGAUCUGAUGCUAAUAACUUUCUUUUGUUCUGCCUGACCACCUGUGGCUUACGACUCCUUCCCCCAUGGAGACUACAGCGGAGGUGUCUGACAUGUAUAUCUUUAGCCUGAUAAAAUGAUGUCUGGCCUGUAUCUCUUUAGUCUGAUAAAGAGUCUUUUGUCACUAUCUUGUAAUGAAUAACUCCUCCGGCCAUGCCAUCUGCAGGCUACAAAGACACUUCUAACCUUUAGAAAAAUCAUGUAUAAGCUGUACUGUAAAAAAAGCCUUUUGGGUCUCCAUAGAGACAGUCCGCGUUACUGUUAGAUUCCCACUGGUGUCACUUCCUAAAUAAACUCUCUCAGUCUUUCUGACUUCAAAUAUGCUUCAUUGGCUCAAUUGCUCUGGGGCACCGACUCUAAUCAGGCAACAAUGUAUAUUAUUCUUAAGAAGCCAUAAUAGUUUUACUCAGAAUAAUUUUUCUAUUGUACCAUUUGAUUUUUUAGUUUUUUUUAAAAGAUAGAAAUUGUACUAUAGAAUUUUUCUUCCCUAAUGAAAUGAACAAAAACUAAUGUGUACACCAAUGUUCACUGCAUCACUUUUCACAAAAGUCAAAAGGUGGAAACAACCAAAAUGCCCAUCAACAGAUGAAUAAAUAAGCAAAAUGUGGUACAUACAUACAAUGGAAUAUUAUGUAGCUGUAAAGAGAAAGGCAGUUCUGAUGCAUGCCACAACAUGGAUGAACCUUGAAAAUAUCAUGCUGAGCCAAAUAAGUCAGUUUCAAAAUGACAAAUUCUGUAUAAUCUCACUUAUAUGAAAUAAGCAAAUAUAUAGACACCAAAGAUUACCAAUGGUUACCAGGGGUGGGAGGGAAGGGGAAGGGAGAGGUUUUGUUUGAGGGGGACACUGAGUUUGUGUUAAUAUUGAUGGAAUGUUUUAGGUGAGGAGAGCAAUAAUGGUGGCACAUCGUGAAAAAUGUAAUCAUUUUUAAUGUUGAGUUGUAAAUGUUGAAAUUGUGAUGGUUUAUGUUUUGGUGUGCAUAGUUCCACCACAAUAAAAAGAGAGAGAGGGCACAGAAGAAAAAAAAAAAAAACUAAUGAAAAAACCCUCAAAAAUUAUAAUCAAACCCACUGCCGUCGAGUCAAUUCCGACUCAUAGCGACCCUAUAGGGCAGAGUAGAACUGCCCCAUAGAGUUUCCAAGGAGCGCCUGGCAGAUUCGAACUGCCAACCUCUUGGUUAGCAGCCGUAGUACUUAACCACUACACCACCAGGGUUUCCAAAAUUAUAAUAGCAACAAAAUACCUAAAGGUGGUUCACUAAGGAAAAGAAACAACCAUGAUUCUGGGCAGAGCAGGACAAAGCAGCUCAGAUCCAACAAUCACCAUCCUGCAAAGAAACUAUACUGUUGAGCCAAGAAAUUUCUGAGUAUUCUCACUUAAGUUCUCUAAAUGGCUGUUGUGGAGAACACUUUUAUUUAUUUAUCUAUUUUUUAACAGUGAAUAAAUUGAGUGAAAAUCUGCCUGAGAUGGAAGUUCCAGAGGCCCUCAGUGAACUGAGGAAAGAAUUCCCAGACUAAGGAUUAUCCUCAUGGGAAUGAAAUAUCCUCCCGCUUGCAAACAUGUGGUCUGAAUCGUGGGCAGAGCAUUUAAGAAAUCUCAAGAGAACAGAGCUCACGUAUCAAGGUGUGCCAAAAAAAAAAGGUCCCUCUGUUGAGCUCCUUUCACUUCCAUUCCCUCAAGCUUUAGGAAAGCAGCUAGACUAUGAAAUAAGUAGAUUUGAAAUGAUAACUUGGAAGGAACAAAAGCAUGGUCUCUAUUGUAGUAGGAAGAGAAUCUAGCAGGGCUACUAUAUUUCACACUUGGGUUAAUUAGAUAAAAGAGCACUCACUAAGAGAUGCAGCCCCAUGAAUGGUGGCCUAGUUGAAUGUCAGCCCUGAUUGCAUCCUGGGCCAGAUGCCCUUUGCAAUAAACAAGCUGCACAAAGAUAUGCAGUGUACCUGGAGUAAAAAAGAAAGCUACAUUACAACAGAGUUAAUAUGAUGUUUGAGCUCAGAAAAGCCACCUAAAACAUGAGCUAGAUGAAAAGAGAUCUUUUGGCAACUAUGCAAACAUAAUGUAGCAAAGAUGUUGAAAGAAUUUGUAAAAAACAAAUAACUCAACCUAGAAAAAAAUUACAUAAGAAAAAAAUGCCACAGAGUUGCUUUAUGCUAUAGAAAAAUGCAGCAAGACCACAAAUUUGAUAAAAUAUGAUUUCAAACACAAGGUGAUAAUGCAACAGAUUAAGAUAAUAACAGGGACUGCAUACUUAAGGAAAUAAAUUGAGGACAACAAUAACAUCAUUACAGAGCUAAUAUAUAACUUAGAAUCAGCAAGAAACUGAAUAAAAUAAAAUUACUUUCAAAGAGAAAAGAUGUGAGAUAAUUAUAAAUAAAUGCAUUGCAGUUUCAAUUGUUCUACAUUCUCAUCAAUGCUUGGCACGGUACUUUUUUUUUUUCCUUGUCUUAUUGCAUUGGCUAAAAAUCUCCAGUAUAAUAUUAAAGAAAACUUCCUUGCCUUAAUGUCCAUCUGAGGGAGAAACUGUUCAAUAUUUAACUGUUAAGAAUGAUGCUGUUUAACUAGUAAAGAAUGUAUGCCUUGAGCAUUAUGCUCUUUUAAGAUCCAUCUCUAUGGUAUCACAUUAACAACAGCAACUUGAAAAAUUAGAUAGGAACUUUGGGGGGCAGUGAGUAUAAGUUAAUGAGGGAGGAAUAACUCCAAAAAGCAGGGUGAGAAUGGUUGUACAACUCAACUCAAAGGACAUAAUCAAUGUCACUGAAUUGUACAUGUAGAAACUUGAAUUGGUGUAUGUUUUUGCUGUGUAUAUUCUCAACAGCAACAAAAAUAAAUUAUUAAAAAAAUAAGAAUGGUGCUAGCUGUAUGUUUUGUGGAGAUAUUCUUUGUAAAAUGAAGGAAGUUCUCUUUUAUACCUAGUUUGAUGAAAGUUUUUAUUAUUGAAUUUUAUGAAAUGCUUUUUCUGAAUUUAUUGGGAAAAUAAUUUGGUUUUUAUUAUUUAUUAAUUUCUAGUGAAUUACAUGAAUUCAUUUUUUUUGAUGUUAUAAGCAACCUUGCAGUUCUUAGAUGUUGUUUUUGUUUUAGAUGCCAUCCAGUCAGUUCCAACUCAUAGCAACCCUGUGUAGAACAGAAUGAAACAUUGCCUGGUCUACAUUGUUGCAGUCACUGUAUCAACACAUCUUAUUGAAGGUCAUCUUUGUCACAGACCCUCUACUUUAUUAAGCAUGAUGUCCUCCUGGGACUGGUCCCUCCUGAUAACAUGUUCAAAGUAUGUGAGACAAAGUGUCACUGUCCUUCUUUCUAAGGAGCGAAUUACAUUGUCUGUUGGAAAAUGAUAAAUUGUACAGAUUAAAAAAAAAAAAUAGGGCAGAAUAAGGGGAAUCAGAAGUAUGGGGCUAGGGAGGGCAAGUUGCAGUAUUAGAUAGGUCAGUUAUGGUAGGCCUCACUGAGAAGGUAAGAUCUGAGCAAAGUUUAAAAAUGUCCUGAUGGAGGAUUUAAGCCUCACCUGGAAUAUUAUUUCAGGUGAGAGGGAGGAGCUAAACACCAGCUCUAAGGCAAGAACAGGACAAUUGUGUUUAAGGAACAGCUGAGAAACCAGAGUGACUGGAGCAGAGCAAGCUGAGGGUGCCAAGGUAAGAAGAGAUGAGGUCAGAAAUGGUUGGAGGAGGGGACUUUUGGCUUUUGCACUAGGGACAUGGAACAGUCUUUGAAUGGUUUUGAGCAGAAGAGUGAAAUGACCUGAAAUACAUUUUAAAGUGCCUCUUUAGCUUCUGUGUUGAAAAGAAGCUAUAGAGGGGCAAGAAUAAACUCUGGGAGACCUGUUAUGAGGCUAAUGAAGUUAUCCAGAUGAGAAAAGAUGAUGACUGGAGCCAGGAUCAAAACAGUGGAAGUGGUCAGAAGUGACUGGAUUCUGGAUAUAUUUUUAAGUUAAAGCCAAGGAGAUUUGCUGAUAAAAAUAGAAGAGUCGAGAAUAAAUCCAAGGCUUUUGGUCUAUACAAGUGGAAGGAAGUGUUGCUGUUAAAUGAGAUGGAAAGUGUUCUGAGUGGAGUGGGUGUGAGGAGGGGAAGAAGUUCAGUUUUGGACAUGCAGAGUUUGAAAUGACUAUGGGACAUCACAGUGGAGAUGCUAAAAGUCCCAGGGUGGCAUAAGCAAUUUGUAAUCAAGUGUUGUCACAGAUUGAAUUGUGUACCCCCAGAACAUGUGCCAACUUGUUUAGGCCAUGAUUCCCAGUAUUGUGUGGCUGUCCUCCAUUUUGUGAUUGUAAUUUUAUGUUAAAGAGGAUUAGGGUGGGAUAGUAACACUCUUACCCAGGUCAUAUCCUUGAUCCAAUGUCAAGGGAGUUUUCCUGGGGUGUGGACUGCACCACCUUUUAUCUCUCUAGAGGUAAGAAGGAAAGGGAAGCGAGCAGAGAGGGGAACCUCAAACCACCAAAAAAGCAGUGCUGGAAGCAGAGUGCAUCCUUUGGAUCCGGGGUCCCUGUGCAGAGAAGCUUCUGAGGGAACAUUGAUGAGAAGGCCGACAGAGAGAAAGGCUUCCCCUGGAUCCGCACCCUGAAUUUGGACUUACAGCCUACUUUACCCUGAGGAAAUAAAUUUCACUUUGUUAAAGCCAUCCAUUUGUGGUAUUUCUGUUACAGCAGGACUAGAAGACUAAGACAACUGUUAAUCUAAAAGUUGGCAGUUUGAACCUACCCCAAGGGGCCAUGGAAGAAAGGCCGGGCAAUCUGCUUCUGUAAAGAUUACAACCAAGAAAACCUGAUGGAGCAGUUCUACUCCUUAACACAUGGGAUUGCCGUGAGUCAGAAUUGACUCAACAGCAACAGGUUUAGUUUGGGUUUUUCUGACACAUGAAUGUGAAGUUCAGGAAGAACGAGUUUUUGGCAUAGAAAUGGUAUAUAAAGUCACGGGAGUGAUUGAUGAAGACGAUGAUGAAGAGCAGACUAACAUGCAGCCACACCAAAAUUUAGAAGUGGGGUGAAGAAGCAAGAAAAAAGACAGAAGGAGUAGCCAGUGAUUUAAGAGAAAACUCUAAAGGGUGUGUUGAUCUAGAAGCCAAGAGAAGAAAGUGUUUCAAGCAGAAGGGAGUGAACAACUGUGUCACAUCCUGCUGAAAUGCUAAGUAGGAAAAACGUUGAGAUUUGGUUAUUCAGUUUAGUGUCAUGGAGGUCAUUUGGUGACUGCUAGUUUUGGCUCCCUCAGCAGCAGGCUCCAGACAAGGGUUUGCAAGGGAGAAGUUUAUGUAAGAGGUACAGGGAACAGUAAGUCCCCAUAACUAAACCACAGUUAAUCCCACAGGAAAGCUUUAGGAAACAGUAUAAAAACACCUCAGAAUUGUUCUACCCAAGAGGCAAAGGGACUGUGGUAUUUUAUCCUCUCAAUAAACACUUCUGGGGACAAGGGUGAGUGGUGAUUCUGGCUUCCCCCUAACAUGAGUGGCACUUUUAUAGAAUCUGGGAGGAGCUCUCAGACAGAGAUGCAGACCCUGUUCAUUUUCAGGUUGAGCUGGGACACAAUGGAAUGGGUGGGACACUACAGUGCCUUUGACGAGAGCACUCCUGAUGUCGUGGUGAUUAUGGCAAAAGCCAGUUUGGAGUGGAUAUGAGAGAGAGUGGAUCCAAUUGAGGGGAGAAAUUGACCUGAAUACAGACAACUCUUUCAAGAGUAAUUCUACCGAAGAGGGGGCAGAGAAAGGGUGCAGCGGCUGAUGGAAGAGGUGCGGUUGAGAGAAGCUUAAAAAAAAGAAAAAAUGAUAGCAAUUGGAACAUUUUAACUGGUGGUAUUAAUCCAGCAAAGAGCUAGAAACAGAUGCUUUAGGGGAGAGUGGGGAGAAUUAUAUGAGCGAUGCCUUGAGUAAACCAGGUGAUGGACUCUGACCCAUAAGUGUAGGGAUAGGUUUUAGAUAUGAGCAGACAGUCUGUGAAAAUGGGGGAGGCAUUGUUUGGAGUUGAGGAGAAAGGAGAAGGUAUAAAACAAUUGUCUGGGAUACUGGAAGAAUGAAUAGACUAGGGGUAUAUAGCAUGACUGCUUGGUAGAAUGAAAAACCCACUUGAGAUUCAUGGUCAGGAGUCUAAGAUAAGAUGAGUUAAGACUAUUACAUCCAUUUUUUAUUAUUUUUGGCAGGUGCGAUCAGCUGCUGGAAUAAAGGAACAGGGACUGGAGAAUUAGAGGUAGUGGUGUGCUGGAGCUAGUUCAUGCCUGAGCCAUUUGGGCAAUUGUAUGCAUCUUUAUGGUGAAAGUUGAAAAUUGGCCAAUGUGAGAUUAUUACACCAUGGAAAUCUGCAAAUGCUACAAAUCAGGGCUUUUUUUCUUUUUUAAUCCUGGAAAGCUAGUUGUUAAAUGACAUUCCUUAGAGAUUACAUACAAGGCCUAUCUUAUGCUUUCAUUUUCCUCUACCCUUAAGAAAAGUGUUUGUAAAGAAUUAGUUCUUGAAGGUAGUCAGUUUGUGCUCGUUAACUGAAUUCUAUGCAAUAAUACACACCCAGGAUCAUCAAAACUUUUAUAAAAAAUUUUCAUACCUUAAAAUUUCAUACAUGAUUUUUGAGAAGAGACAGAAACCCAGGAAUAUCUGUACCAUUUGGUAUAGCAAGAAAUGGCAUUCUGCAUUAGAUAAACCAGCAUACUGGGAUAUGCUAGUUAACCUUUCGUUUUGUUUACUACUUAGUCUUCUCACCCUCCUUGUCAUGUGGCAUUCCUUGGGAAAUGCUCUUAGAGGGGGGAUCUUCGUGAAUGAGAACCACACCUGAUUUCAUCCGAAUUCAAAAUUAACUGCCACAGAAGAGAAUAUGAAGUAAAGCAAGGUUAUUAAGAUGACAUCAUUAUAAAGAUAGCCUAGAAUUUACUCCAUUCUUUAAAAUAAAUGAUUUGUUCACUUUAGUCAUUUUAUACAUUAAAUCUUACUUGAUCCUACCCCAAAGGUAUCUCCACUGGAGCUGAGAAAAAUGGCUUUAGUGUAGUUUUCAUGACAACAUCAUUAGUGUGAGUUCUUAAAUGUCUUAAAGAAGCUUUUGUGCAUUACAAGGACUAUGUCCAAUUACUGAAUUUUUAAGUUAAUAAAGCUUUUACUAAAGUUGUCAUUAUAAAGGAAUCUAGCUUUUCUUUAAGCUUUUAACUAUCAAAUCUUAUUCUACUAUCUAUAAAAUGAAUAAAGAACAAUUAUUUUCUCUUUUUCUUUGAUGAAUAUUUAAUUAACUCAAGUUGAAUACACUAAAUUACUGUAAAUAAUAAGUCCCAUUGACAAUUUUAGUAAAUUGCAUAUCCUCAAAUAUUUUGGACUCUACUUAAAAUUUAAUACAUUUAGGAUUUUUUUUUAAGCAGUUCAGCACCUGACAGCUCAAAUCAAAACCCUAGCAAGAAAAUCCUUCCUAUGCAUUUAAAAUAGUCUUGUAAAUCUCAUAAAAUAAACCUGCAAAUACAAUGCAUCUCCAGUUU